AACAAUUUAAGCGUUGCCAGGUGGAAAAUGAGACAAUCUCUUUACAUGGAAUGUGUAGAAGGGGAGGAGGCUCAUGGAUGCUGGGAAGGCAGUUUCCAAUGUCAGGAAUUUUUUGCCAUGGUCUUUGAUCUGCAGUCCAAUUUUAGUCUUGGUCUAAAAGGGAAAAAAAAAAUGAAGAGGAAAACUAUUACUUGCUUUAAUGAAAAAAGUCUCAGUGAACCAAGGCUAACUAUGGGAAAAACAAGCCAGGAAAAAGGGUGUUGAUUCACAAAAGCAAGCAAAUCUUAAAAACAAAAAUCAAAGCAAUACAAAAAUCCGCUCCCCCCACCCCCUGCUACAAACCAAUCCUUGAAUAGCUUCACCAUUAAAUACUUCAUGUGCUGUCCAUCCAAUGUCACAUGAUUUUGGCUUCAUCUGAGUGUCUUUUCAAUGAGUACGACCUUCUGUGUUUUGAAGGAGUAGCCAUUGGUUCCAUCUGCAACCUUUAUUAGUCCCUGACUUCAAUUUCUACAAUCAUGGAAGGAAUCCUCUGCUGCAUUCAAGAAUAUACUAUUUUUUUAACAUUCUGUGGAUCUUGGUUGAUAGAAGAUUUUGUUCUGACAUAAAAGACGUGUUAGAACUGGAAAUAAAUCUUAGGUUUCUGAUUCCGGUGUAGGAAGUAGAUAAACAUUGCUACCAUAGCAAAUCCGGUAAGGGAAAGAGAUCACAUAUUUUUUAAACAUGCUAAGACUCAUAAUAAUUAAAAAUAGAAAGUAAAUGGGCUUUGGAUGCAGCUGUGUGAUAGAGCAGUUGCCUGACGUUCAUGAAGCCUUGGGUUCAAUCUCCACCAAAGCAAAAAAACA
rnacentral:lncRNA from 1 species